CCGAGUUUACAACUCCCAAACCCCUGUGAACUUACCCCAAGUUGCUUCGGCGGACACGCCCCGGCGCCCUCGUGCCCGGACCCAGGCGCCCGCCGGAGGACCCCAAACCAUCGUGUAUCACACCUGAAUCUUCUGAGUGGCACAAGCAAAUAAAUCA
rnacentral:misc_RNA from 1 species